rnacentral:rRNA from 1 species
GUAACUAUGCACGUCUUGACGGUACCUAAUCAGAAAGCCACGGCUAACUACGUGCCAGCAGCCGCGGUAAUACGUAGGUGGCAAGCGUUAUCCGGGAAUUAUUGGGCGUAAAGCGCGCGUAGGCGGUUUUUAAGUCUGAUGUGAAAGCCCACGGCUCAACCGUGGAGGGUCAUUGGAAACUGGAAACUUGAGUGCAGAAGAGGAAAGUGGAAUUCCAUGUGUAGCGGUGAAAUGCGUAGAGAUUUGGAGGAACACCAGUGGCGAAGGCGACGCGGCCG